UACGUAGGGGGCAAGCGUUGUCCGGAUUCAUUGGGCGUAAAGCGCGCGCAGGCGGCCGGCAGAGCCCGGCGUGAAAGCUCCCAGCUUAACUGGGAGAGGUCGUCGGGGACCGUGGUGGGCUAGAGGCCGGGUAGGGGUGGAGCGGAAUUCCCGGUGUAGUGGUGGAAUGCGUAGAUAUCGGGAGGAACACCGGUGGCGAAGGCGGCUCACUGGGCCGGUUCUGGACGCUGAGGCGCGAAAGCGUGGGGAGCAAACAGG
rnacentral:rRNA from 1 species